rnacentral:rRNA from 1 species
CUGGCUCAGAGCGAACGUUAGCGGCGGGCCUAACACAUGCAAGUCGAACGCGAAAGGUCUUCGGACUGAGUAGAGUGGCGCACGGGUGAGUAACACGUAGGUAAUCUACCCUUUGGCGGGGGAUAACGUUCCGAAAGGAGCGCUAAUACCGCAUAAGACCACGGAGUCUCCGGACGCUGUGGGAAAAGGUGGCCUCUUCUUGAAAGCUACCACCGAAGGAUGAGCCUGCGUCCCAUCAGCUAGUUGGUAAGGUAAUGGCUUACCAAGGCGAAGACGGGUAGCUGGUUUGAGAGAAUGAUCAGCCACACUGGCACUGGAACACGGGCCAGACUCCUACGGGAGGCAGCAGUGAGGAAUAUUGGGCAAUGGGCGAAAGCCUGACCCAGCCACGCCGCGUGAGUGAUGAAGGCCCUCGGGUCGUAAAGCUCUGUGGAGAGGGACGAAAACCCUGGUUUCAAAUAGGCUCCAGGCUUGACGGUACCUCUUUAGCAAGCACCGGCUAACUCUGUG